rnacentral:sRNA from 1 species
GUAGGGCUGUGCUGCGCGGUCCUUCCCAUUCACCCUAGUCUGGCGCUCGCCGGCGUGGGCGGGCCGGACCUUCGCCGCUUCCAGGAAGGGCCACAACGGCCGUCGGACCACGGCGCGGCGGCCAGUUCCUUUAUAGUUUUGUUCAGAAAAACAUAUGGAGACGUUUAUACCCAUUGAUUUGACAACUGAAAAUCAAGCGAUGGACAAGGAGGAAACCAAGACAAAACCAAGACCAACCUUGGAUAUGCCAAAAAAGUGAGAAGGAGGUUGUUGGAUAUGAGAAAUUAACCAACAACUGAGAAAUCCUAGGAAAGCAAAAGUUUUUCCAGCAGUAGACAGUUGGCCAGUGUCCUGUGAAAAAAAAGGAAGGCAACAUAUGAGUAUGAAAUUUCAGAAAAUUGUGUUCUGACUUCACUUUGCUUAAUUGGACUUUUAAGAUAUGAAGAGAAAAAAUAUGAAGAUGUGAAACCAUUAGAGACUCAACCAGCUGAAAUAGCAGAAAAGGAAACAUUGGAAUAUAAAACAGUUAGAACAUUCUCUGAAUCUUUGAAGUCAGAGAAAACAGAAGAUUACCUUAGAGAAAGUAUAAUUCAACAACAUAUGGUUUCUCCAGAGCCAACUUCCCUUAAGGAGAAAGGGAAGUCAAGGAGAAAAAAGGAUCAAACUCAUGCUUGUCCAAAUGUUAGGAAAGCCAGGCCUGUGUCCUAUGAUAGAACAGAGUCUCUCCCCUUUGCUGGCUUCGAAGAAGCAAGCUGCUAUGAUUCCAAUCACAAAGAAAUGAAUUCUUCUUACAACCUGAGGGAGCUUGGAAGCAGAUCUUUUCCCAAUAGAGCCUCCAAAUGAGAAUCCAUUCCCAAGCAACACCUCGAUUACAGCCUUUGAGACUUUAAGCAGAGGAUCCGUUAAGCUGUAUCCAGACUCCUGACCCACAGAAACUGUGAGAUAGUAAAU